GCGAUGAGGACGCGCUCGGGACACUCACGUUUUCUGCACCGGCUUCCGCCGCUUGCGACUGGCGUAGGUGAUGUUGGCGCUGCUGCUGUUCAUGGUGCCCAGCCGACGGCGGCGGCUACUCCCCGGGCACUGGCGGCCGGGUCCCCGGAACCCGGUGUAGGCUGGGACCACUGCGGCGGCCGGCGCCGGGUUCCGCGAAGCCGCGCCCGCUCCACCUGCGUCCUCUCGGGACAGUGGCGUGGGCGCCGCGCCUCAACGCCUCGGCUCACGCAGGCUUCCGCAGCCCGCGCCAGUACAGUGUUGUGAACCACUUGUCAUGGGAUAACCAAAAUUAAACCUGGAAUCGCAGAAGAAACAAAUUUUUUGAAGAAAUUGGAUGUACUUUUUUAAAAUUUUUCAUUCAACUAAAACUUUGUUAACUGUUUCUUGGUUGUGGUCUUCUCUAAAUUGUAAUCUUUGGCAUUCACUUCCAAAGUAUCCACCACUAAACUUCAUAACAUUUAUUGUGUCUCUUCAUCAUUAAACUUUGAUGAAUUUACAGAGUGUCUUUUGAAAUUAUGUUCUUGAGAAAGCCAGGGGAUUGGACGGUGUCAUGGAAAUGUCAAAGAAAAAGUGACACCUGAGAGAAAAUUUGAAAGAUGAAAGUGCUGUUAAUACGGAAACUGGUCUAAUAUGGAAAACAGGUGAACAUGGAGCUGCUUUGUUUGACUCAGGGAUGAGAGAUACCCAGGUCCUAAUUACUUGUCUUUAACUUUCCUUAGGGAGUACUAAUUUGGGAGUCAUUGUUCUAAACAAUUAAAGUGAAGUAACUGUCCUGUUUUUCUCUUUUACCCUUGUGAACGAGGAAGCUCAGGGUUAAAGUCUAUGUCUUUACUUAUACAUUUCUGUGUUGUAGGAUCUUUUAAUAAAGAUUUUCUCCUUUUA
rnacentral:lncRNA from 1 species